CAGGGUUUUUUCCUAGGAUACAAUCAUUUCUCAUAUGACUCUUGAUUCAGAUUCUUCGCUCUGAGCUUUCCCUCCUUUUUCUUAUUGGAUCUUGACUUUCUCGUAGCCUUGGCUAUCUCUUUUCUCUCUUCCAUAUUUUAGUUCUUUGACUUUCUAGCCCACCUUCCUGUAUCACGAUCUUCAGGUACAAAUCUUUCAUUCACUACAUCUCCAUUUCCAUAUAACUCUCACUGCCUUUGCCUCUUUCCCAUUUAUCUCACUCUUUCAGACUUAGGUACUCUUCUACUAGUAGUUUGUUUUUUCCUACCUGAAUAUCAACACAGUCUAUCUCGUUCAGUCUUCAGAUCCAUUAUGUUCCCUGCUGACAUAUCUCUUUUUCUAAAACUUAGAUCACUCUGUUGACUUGUCCUCUCAUUCAUUUCUCCUUCCCUCACUGUCCCUCUCCAAAUAUUUCUCUUUCAUUCAUUCUCAGCAGUCACUCUUCCUUUCUUUGGUGCUCUCAAAUUCAGUCAUUUCUCCUUGCAUACCAUUCACUCCUUUUUCUUUUUGAAAUUUGACCAUUCCUUCAAGUAUCAGAGGUUGGGUCUCUCCUUUCACUCCUGUCUUUCUGGUCUCUGUGUGUCACAUUCUCACAUUCACCCCAUCAGGAUUUCUCACUCCACUCUUCUCUCUUUCUCUUUAGCCACUCAACUCUCAUUGUCUUAAACUUUCAUACCAACAAUCUCCCAUUUUCUCACACAUUUUCUUUUUUCACAGUGGCCCGGCCUCUUCUGUAUUCAUUCAUGCUCUAUUAGUACUAGACCUAAACUCUUCUCUGCCCCUCUACAGCUCGAUGAUCCCUUGACCACACAAACAUGUAGUUUCUCCUUUCAUACACUGGUCACACUCCAGCUCACUAGAUUUAGCCGCAUAGCCCACAGGGAGCAGCCUUGCUUCUCCACAUCAUGCACAUUCAGUCCAUCACUUCUCUCAUGCUUCACUCCUUCAGGGUAGAUUUUCUAGACAGCCAAUCUUCACUUUCACUCUGCACCAUUUUCUUGCAUGUUCUUCAACGUCUCUUUAGCAGUGUAUUAUGCUUGACUCUCACACACUCACUUCUUAUCCUUUGAAGGCCUUGUUAUUUUUUCAAGAAUUCAUAGAUAAACUUCUUACACACACACACACACACACACACACAGCAAAGUACAGGUAUUUGCAGCCACGUUUCUCUUACAUGCAUACAUUGCUUUCAAUACAUUAUGCAUUCUCUUGCUGUCUCGUUCCAUAUAUUACUCACACUCUUGCUGUCUCUUUCCAUACAAUGCUCACACUUUUUGUGCCUCACUCCAUCCGUCUCUUAUUUCUCUCUCUCUCCACUUGGAUUCAUCCAGCUGUCUAGGUCUCUCUUCCCUUUCUUUUCAGUUUCUGACUUUUUGACCUUCAUGUUUCUCAGCUUCUGAUAUCUCUUUACUCAUUCCUUUCACAUCACCCAAGUGUCUGAAUUCAUCCAUCUCCCACAGUCAAGGUCUCAACACGUACACUUAUAUCUCUCGCUCAGGCACCCUGGCUAACUACAGAUUUUGCUUCCUUGUGCUCCUCAGUUCAUCCAUCUCACACUACAUAUUCCUUACCAUUCAUGCAUUCCUUCUCAUUGAGAUUUGACAGUCCCUCAUAUAUCAGAGUUUGGGUCUCUCCAUUCAUUCUUUUAUUCUGCCAUUCAGUCACCCAUUCUUAUCCUCUCACUUUCAUUUUCUCACUCAACUCUCCUCUCACAAUUUCUCCAUCCAUUUAGUUCUGACCUCCCAGUAUAUCCAUUCAUCCCUCAAUUUCUGUAUGUAUGCUUGUCACAUUUGGUUCCCUUCUAUCUCUCUACACUUUCUCUCAUACUCAGGGAUUUUCCUAGGACACAAUGAUAUCUCAUAUUGUUCUUGGUUCAGCUUCCUCUCCCUGAGUUUAUGCCUCCUAGUAUUGUUUAUUAAAUCUUCAGCAUCUUCAUCUUCUCACAGGCUCAGCUAUCUCUAUUUCUCCACCUUCUCUACUUUACUUUUUAGGCUUUCCAACCCACUUCAUUGUGUCCUGAUCUGCAGCUAUAAAUCUUUUAUUCAAUUCAUCUCCAUUUCUAUAUAACCCUCACUGCAUUUGCCUCUUUCCCCAUUUAUCCAAUUCUUUUGUCUUGGGUCCUCUUCUACUAAUAGCUUGCCUUUUCCUACCUGAAUAUCAACACCAUCUACCUCUUUUUGUCUUCAGAUCCAUUAUGUUCCCCUGCUGAUAUAUCUCUUUUUCUAAACCUUUCACUCAGUUGACUUGCCUUUCCAUUCAUUUCUCCUUCCCUCACUGUCCCUCUCCAAAUAUUUCUCUUUUAUUCAAUCUCACCAGUCGUUCUUCCUUUCUUUUGUGCUUUCAAAUUCAGUCAUUUCUCCUUACAUGCCUCUUACCAUUCACUCCUUUUUCUUAUUGAAAUUUGACUAUUCCUUCAAGUAUCAGAGGUUGGGUCUCCUUUCACUGCUGUCUUUCUGGUCUCUGUGUGUCACAUUCUCACAUUCACCCCAUCGGGAUUUCUCACUCCACUUUUCUCUGUCUUUCUCUUUAGCCACUCAACUCUCAUUGUCUUGAACUUUCAUACCAACAGACUCACAUUUUCUCACUCAUUUUCUUGUUUUCACAAUGUAAAAAACGUUCAUCUCACAACACAUACUCCUUGCCAUUCCUUCUAAUUGAGAUUUGAUAGUCACUCAUGCAUCAGAGUUUGGGUCUCUCCAUUCAUUCUUUUAUUCUGCCAUUCAGUCACCCAAUCUCAUCAUUUCACUCUCUUAUUUUUUCACUCGUUUUUUUUUCACAAUGGCCCGGCCUCUUCUGUAUCCAUUCAUACUCUAUUAGUACUAGACCUAAACUCUUUUCUGCCCCUCUACAGCUUGAUGAUUCCUUGACCACACAAACAUGAAGUUUCUCCUUUCAUACAUUGGACACAACUGAGCGUGCUAGAUUUAGCCACACAGCCUCCAGGGGACAGCUUUAUCCCUCCACACUAUAUUCAUUCAGUACAUCACUUCUCUCAUCCUUCACUCCUUCUUUUAGAUUUUGCAAAUAGCCAAUUAUCACUUCCACUCUUCACCAUAUACGUACAUGUUCUCCAAUGGCUCUUUAGCAGUGAGGUAAGCUUGUCUAUCACCCUCUCACCUUUCAUCCUUUCAUGGUUUUGAAAUUUUGCAGCUAAUCAUCCUUCAUGGCUUUGGUUCCUGCUUUCACACACACACUGCCACGUACAGAUAUUUCCACCCAAGUAUCUCUUGCUUGCGUACAAGUCUCUUUCAAUACAUUAUACACUCUCUUGCUCUCUCUUUCCAAAAAUACUGCUCAUUCUUUUUGUGUGUGUCUCUCUCUAUCCAUUUCUUAUUUCUCACUGUCUCCAUUCAGACCCCCUCUAAAUUUCUAGGUUCAUCUUCCUUUUUCCUUUCUGAGUUUUAAACAUUCAUGGUUCACAGUUCUUUAUAUCUCUUUUCCUAUUCCUUGCAUAUCUCUCAAGUGUCUAAAUUCAUCCAUUUCCCAUAGUCUAGGCAUCAACAUAGAUUCCUGUCUCCCUUUCUCAGUCACUGUGGCUAUUUCUCUUUGCAUGUGGCUCCUUAGUUUUACUUCUCCUCCCAGUGCUCCUCAAUUCAGCCAUAUCACACUGCAUGCACUAUGCCAUUCAUGUGUUCUUUCUCACAAGAUUUGACAGUCACUCAUGUAUCAGAGUUUGGGUCUCUCCAAUCAUUCUUUGUACUGCCAUUCAGUCACCCAUCCUCAUUCCCUCACUCUCACUUGCUCACUGCACUCUCCUCUCCCAACUUCUCUAUCCAUUCAAUUCUGACCUCCCAGUAUAUCCAUUCAUCCCCAAAUUUUUUACUCUUUUUGUUUUCACAGUGGCCCAGCCUCUUCUGUAUUCUUUCAUGCUCUAUUAGUACUAGACCUAAACUCUUCUCUGCCCCUCUACAGCUUGAUGCUCCCUUGACCACACAAACAUGAAGUUUCUCCUUGCAUACAUCAGUCAGAAUCAGGCUCACUAGAUUUAGCCGCAUAGCACACAGGGAGCAGUGUUGUUUCUCCACAUCAUGCCCAUUUAGUCCAUCACUUCUCUCAUCCUUCACUCUUUCAGGUAGAGUUUGCAAACAGCCAAUCAUAACUUUUACUCUUCACCAUUUUCUUGUAAGUUCUUCAAUGGCUUUUUAGCAGCAUGGUAAACUUGACUCUCAUCCUCUCACCUUUCAUCCUUUCAUUGUUUUCCUGUUUUUCAGUUAUUCAUCCUUCAUAGCUAUGGCUUCUGCUUCCACACGCACACUGCAAAGCAUACUUAUUACCAGUCAAAUAUUUCUUUUGUGCGUACAGGGUUAUUUCCAUAUAUCACACACUCUCUUGCUGUCUCUUUCCACAUAGUGCUCACUCUUUUGGUGUCUCUCUCCAUUUGGAUCUCUCUCACUGUCUAGGUCUCUCAUGCCUUUGUUUUUUGUCUCUGAGUUCUAGACAUUCUAGUUUCUCAGCUGCUUAUACCUCUUUAUUGAUUCCGUUCACAUCACUUGAGUGUCUAUUUCAUCCAUUUCCCCCAGUCUAGGUCUCAACAUGGAUUCCUUUCUCCCUCUCUCAGUCACUGUGUCUAACUAUUACUCUUUGCAUGCGUCUCCUCAGUUUUGCUUCUCCUCCCUGUGCUCCUCCAUUCAGCCAUCUCUCACCACAAAUUUCUUGCCAUUCAUACGUUCCUUCUCAACAAGAUUUGACAGUCACUCAUGUAUCAGAGUUUGGGUCUCUCCAUUCAUUCUUUUCUGUCUGCCAUUUGGUCACCCAUCUUCAUCCUCUGACUCUUAUUUUCUCUCUCCUUUUCUUACUCUCCUCUCCUUUUCCUAAUUCUCUUCAUCCAUUCAAUUCUCUCCUCACAGUAUAUCCAUUCAUCCCUCAAUUUCUUUAUGUGUACUUGUCCCACUUGUUCCCUUAAUCUGUCUAGACCUCCUCUCUCCCUCAGGGAUUUUCCCUAGGACACAGUCCUGUCUCAUACUGCUAUUGAUUCAGCUUCCUCUCCCUGAUCUUAUCCUUGCUAGUAUUGAAUCUUCACUAUUUUCAUCUUCUCACAUGCUCAGCUAUCUCUAUUUUUCCACAUUCUCUACUUUACUUCUUUGGCUUUCCAAACCACUUAACUGUGUCAUGAUCUGCAACAACAAAUCUUUCAUUGAGUACAUCUCUAUUAUAAUCUCUCUCUCGCUCACUUUCCAGCUCUGUCCAUCUAGUGUUUUCUUUCCCUCUUUCUGCGUUCAUUGUAUUCUUUCAGUUCUGGCUCCUCUUUUCCUACUAUCUUGCCUUUUCCUUUCUGAAUAUCAGAAUCAUCUAUCUCUUUUAUUCUAAGUAUUCAUUGGGCUCCUGUGCAGAAAUAUCUCCUUUUCUAUACUUUUGACUCUGUUAACUUGUCUUGUCAAUUAUUUCCCCUUUUCUGUGUUCUUCUCCAAAUGUUUCUCUUUCAUCCAGUCUCACUAAGCAUACUUCCUUUCUUUGCUGCUCCCCCAUUCAGUCACCUCACGUUACCUUCUCUUUCCACUCAUCCUUUUUCUUAUUGGAAUUUGACUGUCCCCACAAGUAUCAGAGGUUGGGUCUCUCCUUUCACUCCUCUCUUUGUGGUCUUUGGGUCUCACAUUCUCACUUUCGCCCCAUCUGCAUUUCUCAGUCCAUUCUCUCUCUUUCUCUUUAGCCACUCAUCUCUCAUCUGUAUAUAGCCAGUUACCCAUCACACACAGUUAACUUUGCUCUACACAUACAAAGGCCAACAUCUUAUUUUGAACACUAGUUUCUGACUCUCUAGUGUUAUUUCUAGCAGCCAGAUCUCACUAGUCCCUCACUAGUCUCUACAUACACCUGUCUCUACCUCAGUGGUUCCCUAGAGUCACUCUAUGUCCUUGUCUUCUGAAAUCUUGGCUUUAGCCCUUUGCUUAGCAGCUCAUCCUUUAUUACUUUCCAUGUUGCCUUCUGACUUUGUUAAAUUGACAGAAAUCUCUGCCCAGGCAUCUCUCACUCCAGAGCAUUUCCAUCCUCACAUUUCUCACUUGCUUGACCUUUUAUACCAACAAUCUCACAUUUUCUCACACAUUUAAUUUUUUUCACAGUGGCCUGGCCUCUUCUGUAUUCAUUCAUGCUGUAUUAAUACUAGACCUAAACUACUGUCUGCCCUUCUGCAGCUGGAUGAUCCCUUGACCACACAAACCUGGAGUUUCUCCUUUCAUACAUCAGUCACACUCCAGCUCACUAGAUUUAGCCGCAUAGCCCACAGGGAGCAGUGUUGUUUCUCCACAUCAUGACCAUUCAGUCCAUCACUUCUCUCAUCCUUCACUCCUUCAGGUAGAUUUUGCAAACAGGCAAUCAUCACUUUCACUCUAUACUAUUUUCUUGCAUGUUCUCUAGUGGCUCUUUAGCAGCAUAGAAUACUUGACUGUCGCCACCUCAACCUCUCCUCCUUUCAAGGUUUAGAUAUUUUUUUCAGGAAUCCAGCCUUCAUUACUAUGGCUUCUGCUUUCACACACACUCAGUGCAAAAUAGGUAUUUCCAAAUAAGUGUCUCUUAUAUAUGGCUCUCUUUCAGUACAUCACUCACUCUUUGCUCUCUUUUAAUACAGUGCAGAUUCUUUUUGUGUCUCCAUCCAUCCAUCUCUCAUUUCUCACUGUUUCCAUUCAGACCCCUCUCUAUCACUGUCUUGAUCUCUGUCCUUUCUUUUCUGUCUGAAGAGUCUAAAUUCCAUAGUCUAGAUCUCAUCACGUAUUCCUUUCUCUCUGUCUCAGGCACCCUAGUAAUUAUUUCUCCUUGCAUUUGGUUCCUCAGUUUUAUUUCUUGUCCUUGUGCUCCUUACUUCAAGCAUCUCACACUGCAUCCUUCCUGCUAUUCAUGCAUUCUUUCUCAUUGAGAUUUGACAGAUUCAUUUAUCAGAGUUUGGGUCUCUCCAUUCAUUCUUUGGUCCUACCAUUCAGUCACCCAUCUUCUUCUUCUCACUCUCUCAUGUUCUCACUCCACUCUCCUCUCCUAAUUUCUCUUCAUCCAUUGAAUUUCAACACCCCAGGAUAUCCAUUCCUCCCUCAAUAUCUGUAUGCAUACAUGUCCCACUUGUUCCCUUCUAUCAGUCAAGGCUUUCUUUCUCUCUCUCUCUCUCUCUCUCUCUCUCUCUCUCUCUCUCUCUCUCUCCCUCUCCCUCCCUCCUCUCUUUUUCCCUAGGAUACAAUCAUUUCUCAUAUGGCUUUUGCUUCAGCUCCUUCUCCCUGAGCUUUCCCUGCUCCUUUUUUUAUGACAUUCUGAUCUUUUCGCAACCUUGGCUAUCUCUCUUUUCUCCACCUUCCAUACUUUAUUUCAUAGGCUUUCCAGCCCCCCUUUCUGUCUCACAAUCAUAACCUACAAAACUCUCAGUACAUCUCCAUUUUCAUGUAACUCUGACUCCCUUUUCCUCUUUCCCCAUUUAUCCAACUCUUUCAGUCUUGGAUCCUCUUCUACUAGUAGCUUGCAUUUCUCUAGCUGAAUAACAACAAAAUCUACCUGGUUCAGUCUUCAGAUCCACUAUGUUCCCCUGCUGACGUAUCUUUUUCUAAACCUUUCACUCUAUUGAUUUGUCUUCCCAUUCAUUUCUCCUUCUCUGUGUUCUCCCAAUGUUUCUCAUUCAAUCAUUCUCAUCAGUCAUUGUUCCUUUCUUUCAUGCUCUCCCAUUCAAUCACCUCACAUUGCCUUCUCUUUUCACUCACUCUUUUUCUUAUUGGAAUUUGACUGUCCCCUCAAGUAUCAGAGGUUGGGUCUCUUCUUUCACUCCUCUCUUUGUGGUCUCUGGGUCUCACAUUCUCACCUUUGCCCCAUCUGGAUUUCUCAGUCUAUUCUCCUCUCUCUUUCUCUUUAGCAACUCACCUCUCAUCUUCUGUAUAUAGCCAGUUAUCUAUCACACACAGUUAACCUUGCUCUACCCAUACAAAGGCCCAACAUCUUAUUGAACACAAGUUUCUGAUACUCCAGUGAUAUUUGUAGCAGCCAGAUCUCACUAGUCCCUAUCCACAUGUACCUGUUUCUACCUCAGUGGUUCUCUAGAGCCCCUCUAUCUCCUUGUCUUCUAAAAUCUUGGCUUUCUCCCUUUGCUCAGCAGCCCAUCCUUGAUUGUUUCCCAUUCUGCUUUCUCAUUUUGGUGUAUUGACAGAUAUCUUUACCCAGGCAGCUCUAACUCCAGAGCAUUUCCACCUUCACACAUCUCACACGUUUGACCUUUCUUACCAGCAAUCUGACAUUUUCUCACUCUUUGUUUUUCACAGUGACCCAGCCUCUUCUGUAUUUAUUCAUGCUCUAUUAGUACUAGACCUAAACUUUUCUCUACCCCCGCUGUAGUCGAAUGAUCCCUUGACCACACAAACCUGAAGUUUCUCCUUUCAUACACUGGUCACAGUCAAGCUUGCUAGAUUUAGCCAUGCAGCCCCCAGGGGAAAGCUUUUUUUCUCUCCACACCAUGCUCAUUCCGUACAUCACUUCUCUUAUCCUUCGCUCCUUCAGGUAGAUUUUGUAAACACCCAAUCAUCACUUUCACUCUACACCAUUUACUUGCAUGUUCUCCAAUGGUUCUUUUAAAGCAUAACAUUUUUGACUCUCACCCUCUCAUCAUUCAUCCUUUUUGUUGUUUGUCAGCUAUUCAUCCUACAUGCUUUAGGCUUCUGCUUUCACACACACACUGAAAUGUAUAGGUAUUUCCAACCAGAAUUUCUUACUUGCAUACAGAUCUUUCAAUCCAUUACUUACUCUCUUUCUCUCUCCAUUAAUACAUUAUUCAAUCUCUUUCCACACACUGCCCACUCUUUUGGUUUCUCUCUCCAUCCAUCUCUUAAUUCUCACUUUCUCCACUUGGAAGCUCUGCAAGAUCUAGGUCUUUGUUCCCUUUAUUUUCUGCCUCUGACUUUUAGGUAUUUAGGUUUCUCAGUUCCUUAUACCUCUUUCCCCAUUCAUUUCACAUAACUCAAGUGUCUAAAUUCCAUUUUCCACAGUCUAGGUCUCAACACAUGUUCCUUUCUACUUCUCUCAAGAACCCUAAAACUCUUUCUCUUUGGAUGUGGCUGCUCUUUUCAGCUCCUCAGUUCAACACUGCAUCCUUCUCAACAUUCAUGCAUUCCUUCUCAUUGAGAUUUCACAGUCAUUCAUUUAUCAGAGUUUGGGUCUCUCCAUUCAUUCUUUCAUUCUGCCCUUAAGUCCACACAUACUUAUCCUCUGACUCUCAUUUUCUCACUCCACUCUCCUCUCCCAAAUUUUCUUCAUCCAUUCAAUGUCGACACCCCAAAAUGUCCAUUUAUCUCUCAAUAUCUGUACACAUACAUGUCCCACUUGUUCCUUCAUCUGUCUGGGCCUUCUCUCUCCCUCAGGGACUUUUCCUAGGACACAGUCAUCUUUCAUACUGCUCUUCAUUCAGCUUCCUAUCCCUGAGCCUUUCCUUCUUAGGUUUGAUUGUUGAAUGUUCAGCAUCUAGACCUUUUCACAGUCCCUGUAAUCUGUAUUUUCUCCACCUUCCCCACUUGAUUUCUUGGGCUUUCCUACUCACCUCAUUGUCUCACGAUCUGCAGCUACAAAUCUUACAUUCAAUACAUCUCCAUUUCUAGAUAUCUCUUACUCACUUGCUAUCCAGUGUUAACUUUCCCUCUUUCUCCAUUCAUUUAACUCUUGGGUUCUCUUCUAAUAGUGUCUUGACUUUUACUACCUGUAUAUCACCACGAUCUACCUUCUAUACUCUUAAGUAUCCAUUGGGCUCCCUUGCAAGUAUAUCUCCUUUUCUAUACCUUUCACUCUGUUGCCUUUUAUUCACAUUAAUUUCCCCUUCUCUUACUGUUCUUCUCCCAAUGUUUUUCUUUCAUUUAAUCUCACCAACCAUUCUUCUUUCUCUGCUGCUCUCCAUUCAGUCAUCUCACAUUGCAUUCCUUGCUCCAUUCAUCCUUCUUUCUUAUUGGAACUUGACUGUCCCCUCAAGUAUUAUAGGUUACGUCUCUCCUUUCACUCCUCUUUGGGGUUUCUGGGUCUCAUAUUCUCACCUUCAUGCCAUUUAAAUUUGUCAGUCCACUCUCCUGUCUUUCUUGUUAGCCACCCAGCUUCCAUCUUGUCCAUAUAACCAACUAUAGCUUCACACAUACAAGUCCCAUUCAACAUCUUAUUUCUCACAAAUGUUUGACACUCAGGUGGUAUUUUUAACAGCCACAUCUCACUAGGCCCUAUCAACAAGUACCUGUGUCUACCUCAGUGAUUCCCUGGAGCCACUCUAUCUCCUUGUCCUCUGAAAUCUUGGCAUUUUCUUUUUCAUCUGCAGCCCAUGCUGAUGCUUCCCAUUCUGCUUUCACACUUUAUUGACUUGGCAGGAAUGUGGACACAGGCAUAUUGUACUCCAUAGCAUUUCCAUCCUCACAUGUCUCAUUCUCUUAACCUUUCAAACCAGAAAUCUCACAUUUUCUCUAUUUUUCACAGUGGCCCGGCCUCUUCUGUAUUCAUUCAUGCUCUCUUAGUACUACACCUAAGGUCUUCUCUGCCCCCCUGUAGCUCCAUCACCCAUUGAGAACACGAACAUCAAGUUUCUCCUUUCAUAUAUCACUCACAAGCAAGCUCACUAGAUUUAGCUGCUCAGUCCCGAGGGGACAGAUUCUCUACACCACACCUAUUCAUUUUAUUACUUCUCUCAUCCUUUACUCCUUUGGGUAGAUUUUUUAAACAGCCAGUAAUCACAUUCUCUCUUGACCAUUUUCUUACAAGUUCUCCAAUGGCUCUUUACCAGCAUAGUAUACUCUCACCCUGUCAACUUUCAUCCUUUCAUGGUUUCACUGUUUUUCAGGUAUUCAUCCUUCAGGGGUUUAGGCUUCUGCUUACAAACACACACACACACUGCAAAGCACAUUUAGUUUCAUCUGAGAAUCUCUUAUUUUAUGUUCAGGUCUCUUUCAAUUGAUUACGCAUUCUCUUGCUCUCUUUGUCUGAACAUUAUUCAGUCUCUUGCUCUCUCUUUCCAUAUAUUACUCAUGCUUUUGGUGUCUCUCUCCAUUCAUCUCUUAUUUCUCACUAUCUUUAAUUGGUUUUCUCUCAGUGUCCAGAUCUCUUUUAUUUUUUUUUAUCUCUGAGUUCUAGACAUUCAUAGUUCCCAGCUCCUUAUAUCUCUUUAUUCAUUCCUUUCAAAUCAUUCAAGUGUCUAAAUUCAUGCAUUUCCCACAGUUUAGGCCUCAACAUGAGAUUCCUUUCUCCCUCUCUCUGUCACUAGGGCUCUUUCUCUUUGCAUGUGUCUCCUCAGUUUUGCUUCUCUUCCCUAUGCUUCUCAAUUCAGCCAUCUCACACUGCAUCCUUCGUGCCAUUCAUGGAUUCCUUCUGAAUUUAACAGUCAUUCAUGUAUCAGAGUUUGAGUCUCUCUAUUCAUUUUUGGUUCUGCCAUUCAGUCACCCAUCCUCAUCUUCUCACUCUCAUUUGCUCACUCCACUCUCCUCUCUCAACUUCUCCAUACAUUCAAUUCUGACAUCCCAGUAUAUCCAUUCAUCCCAACAUUUUUUCACUUUUUUGUUUUCACAGUGUCCCGGCCUCUUCUGUAUUCAUUCAUACUCUAUAAGUACUAGACCUAAACUCUUCUCUGCCCCUGCUGUAGCCCAAUGAUCCUUUGACCACACAAACCUGGAGUUUCUCCUUUCAUACAUUGGUCAGAAUCGAGCCCUCUAGAUUUAGUUGCGCAACCCUCAGGGGACAGCUUUGUCUCUCCACAUCACGCUCAUUCAGUACAUCACUUCUCCCAUCCUUAACUCAGUCAUCACUUCACCAUUUACUUGCAUGUUCUCCAGUGGCUCUUCAGCAGCAUAGCAUAUUACACUCUCACCUUUCAUCCAUUCAUGGUUUUGCUGUUUUUCAGCUAUUCAUCCUUCAUGGCUAUAGCUUCUGCUUCCACACACACACACGCACAUACCCACACACACGCACAUACCCACCCACCCACACACACACAGCAAAGCACACUUAUUUCCAGCCAUAUAUCUUUUCUGUGCGUAACAGGGCUAUUUCCACAGAUCAUUCACUCUCUUGCUCUCCCUUUUCAUACAUUUCUCAUGCUUUUGAUGUCUUUCUCCAUCCAUCUCCUAUUUCUCACUAUCUCUAGUUGGAUCUCUCUCAGUGUCCACAUCUCUUUUGCUUUCUUUCUCUGAGUUCUAGACAUUCAGGUUUCUUAGCUCCUUAUACCUCUUUACCCAUUCUUUUCACAGCACUCCAGUAUCUAUUUCAUCCAUUACCCCAGUCUACGCCUUAACAUGGAUUCCUUUCUCCCUCUCUCGGGCAAUCUGAAUAACUGUUUUUCUUUGCAUUUAUCUCCUCAGUUUUGCUUCUCUUCCCUGUGCUCCUCAGUUCAGCCAUCUCACACUGAAUAUCCCAUGUCAUUCAUGCAUUCUUUCUCAACAAGAUUUGACAGUCACUCAUGUAUCAGAGUUUGGGUCUCUCCGUUCAUUCUUUUGUGUCUGAUAUUCGGUCACUCAUCUUCAUCCUCUCACUCUCUCAUUUUCUUAAGCUCCUCUCCUCUUCCUACCUCUCUUUAUCCAUUCAAUUCUGACCUCCCAGUAUAUCAAUCCAUCCCUCAAUGUCUGUUUCUAUACUUGUCCCACUUGUUCCUUUCCAUCUGUCUGGGCCUUCUCUCUCCAUCAGGGA
rnacentral:lncRNA from 1 species